rnacentral:rRNA from 1 species
UACGAAGGGGACUAGCGUUGUUCGGAAUCACUGGGCGUAAAGCGCAUGUAGGCGGUUGUGUAAGUCCGAUGUUAAAGCCCCCUGGCUCAACUGGGGGGAGGUCAUUGGAGACUACUCGACUUGAGGGCAACAGAGGCACGUGGAACUCCCGGUGUAGCGGUGGAAUGCGUAGAGAUCGGGAAGAACACCAGUGGCGAAGGCGACGUGCUGGGUUGCAACUGACGCUGAGACGCGAAAGCGUGGGGAGCGAACAGG